rnacentral:rRNA from 1 species
GCAAGUCGAACGGUAACAUUUCUAGCUUGCUAGAAGAUGACGAGUGGCGGACGGGUGAGUAAUGCUUGGGAACUUGCCUUUGCGAGGGGGAUAACAGUUGGAAACGACUGCUAAUACCGCAUAAUGUCUUCGGACCAAACGGGGCUUCGGCUCCGGCGCAAAGAGAGGCCCAAGUGAGAUUAGCUAGUUGGUAAGGUAACGGCUUACCAAGGCGACGAUCUCUAGCUGUUCUGAGAGGAAGAUCAGCCACACUGGGACUGAGACACGGCCCAGACUCCUACGGGAGGCAGCAGUGGGGAAUAUUGCACAAUGGGGGAAACCCUGAUGCAGCCAUGCCGCGUGUGUGAAGAAGGCCUUCGGGUUGUAAAGCACUUUCAGUUGUGAGGAAAAGUUAGUAGUUAAUACCUGCUAGCCGUGACGUUAACAACAGAAGAAGCACCGGCUAACUCCGUGCCAGCAGCCGCGGUAAUACGGAGGGUGCGAGCGUUAAUCGGAAUUACUGGGCGUAAAGCGCACGCAGGCGGUUUGUUAAGCUAGAUGUGAAAGCCCCGGGCUCAACCUGGGAUGGUCAUUUAGAACUGGCAGACUAGAGUCUUGGAGAGGGGAGUGGAAUUCCAGGUGUAGCGGUGAAAUGCGUAGAUAUCUGGAGGAACAUCAGUGGCGAAGGCGACUCCCUGGCCAAAGACUGACGCUCAUGUGCGAAAGUGUGGGGUAGCGAACAGGAUUAGAUACCCUGGUAGUCCACACCGUAAACGCUGUCUACUAGCUGUGUGUGUCUUUAAGACGUGCGUAGCGAAGCUAACGCGCUAAGUAGACCGCCUGGGGAGUACGGCCGCAAGGUUAAAACUCAAAUGAAUUGACGGGGGCCCGCACAAGCGGUGGAGCAUGUGUUUAAUUCGAUGCAACGCGAAGAACCUUACCUACACUUGACAUGCAGAGGACUUUCCAGAGAUGGAUUGGUGCCUUCGGGAACUCAGACACAGGUGCUGCAUGGCUGUCGUCAGCUCGUGUCGUGAGAUGUUGGGUAAGUCCCGCACGAGCGCAUCCUGUCUAGUGCAGCUUAAGUGGCACUCUAGAGACUGCGGUGACACCGAGAGUGGGACGACGUCAGUCAUCAUGGCCUACGGUAAGCUACCACUGUCUACAUGCAUUACGAAGGAGCGGAACAGGAUUGUGA